rnacentral:rRNA from 1 species
GGUUAAGCGACUAAGCGUACACGGUGGAUGCCCUGGCAGUCAGAGGCGAUGAAGGGCGUGCUAAUCUGCGAUAAGCGCCGGUAAGGUGAUAUGAACCGUUAUAACCGGCGAUACCCGAAUGGGGAAACCCAGUGUGACUCGUCACACUAUCAUUAACUGAAUCCAUAGGUUAAUGAGGCGAACCGGGGGAACUGAAACAUCUAAGUACCCCGAGGAAAAGAAAUCAACCGAGAUUCCCCCAGUAGCGGCGAGCGAACGGGGAGGAGCCCAGAGCCUGAAUCAGCAUGUGUGUUAGUGGAAGCGUCUGGAAAGGCGCGCGAUACAGGGUGACAGCCCCGUACACAAAAGCGCAUGUGCUGUGAGCUCGAUGAGUAGGGCGGGACACGUGGUAUCCUGUCUGAAUAUGGGGGGACCAUCCUCCAAGGCUAAAUACUCCUGACUGACCGAUAGUGAACCAGUACCGUGAGGGAAAGGCGAAAAGAACCCCGGCGAGGGGAGUGAAAAAGAACCUGAAACCGUGUACGUACAAGCAGUGGGAGCCCCACCACUAAGCCAGUGGUGAACUCCACAUACGCAUCCUUUGCUGAGGAUACGGUUAACGGAGCGAAAGCGACGUUCAACCUCAAAAGAAGCAGAGGGGGCUUAGUGGUGGGGUGACUGCGUACCUUUUGUAUAAUGGGUCAGCGACUUAUAUUCUGUAGCAAGGUUAACCGUAUAGGGGAGCCGUAGGGAAACC